rnacentral:rRNA from 1 species
UACGAAGGGGGCUAGCGUUGCUCGGAAUCACUGGGCGUAAAGCGCACGUAGGCGGCUUACUAAGUCAGGGGUGAAAGACUGGAGCUCAACUCCAGAACUGCCUUUGAUACUGGUGAGCCUGAGUUCGGGAGAGGUGAGUGGAACUGCGAGUGUAGAGGUGAAAUUCGUAGAUAUUCGCAAGAACACCAGUGGCGAAGGCGGCUCACUGGCCCGAUACUGACGCUGAGGUGCGAAAGCGUGGGGAGCAAACAGG